rnacentral:rRNA from 1 species
CGGCCAUUGCUAUCGGAGUCCGAUUUAGCCAUGCUAGUCGCACGGGCUUAGAACCCGGGCAUAUAGCUCAGUAACACGUGGCCAAACUACCUACAGACCCCGAUACCUCGGGAAACUGAGGCCAAUAGCGGAUAUAACUCUCAUGCUGGAGUGCCGAGAGUUAGAAACGUUCCGGCGCUGUAGGAUGUGGCUGCGGCCGAUUAGGUAGAUGGUGGGGUAACGGCCCACCAUGCCGAUAAUCGGUACGGGUUGUGAGAGCAAGAACCCGGAGACGGUAUCUGAGACAAGAUACCGGGCCCUACGGGGCGCAGCAGGCGCGAAACCUUUACACUGCACGACAGUGCGAUAGGGGGACUCCGAGUGUGAGGGCAUAUAGCCCUCGCUUUUCUGUACCGUAAGGUGGUACAGGAACAAGGACUGGGCAAGACCGGUGCCAGCCGCCGCGGUAAUACCGGCAGUCCAAGUGAUGGCCGAUAUUAUUGGGCCUAAAGCGUCCGUAGCU